rnacentral:tRNA from 1 species
GCGGAUGUGGCGGAACUGGCAGACGCGCCGGACUUAGAAUCCGGUGCCAUCAGGCGUAUGGGUUCAAGUCCCUUCAUCCGCACCA